CCCAACCCCAAACUAUCCCCAAAGGCCACAUUUGGUUUCUUUAAAAAGAGAGAGAGAGAGAGAGAGAGAAAGCUCACCAGGAGUCCUCGUUGGAGCCACCGCACGCCAGGACGUCGUCAAGCUCGUCAUCACCAUCAACCGCAGCUCGAGUGAAUCUCGUGCAUCCAAGGCCAUCAUCGUGUUCCUCUCGUCAAGACGAAGCCGUAGACACCAACCGCGUCACGAUCGGAGCCCGGACGAAGCCGUACGCGCCUCCGGAAGUUUCACCUCCGCGCGCGCGUGAGUUCCACGCGCCGCCGCCGGACCACCGUCCUCCGCCGCAGCGCCGCCGCCGGACCACCGUUCUCCGCCGCAGCUCCGCCGUCGCCGCCGGCCAACUUACCGAUUUGGAGUCCAUUUGAGCAGCUGGAGUUCAUAUAUACCACUUCUCUUCAUUGCUAAGGUGAGACCGACGAGCAGAAGUGAUUAUACCGGACCGGUGCUUUUGGGCUUUUACUACUAUUGGGCUUUUGGGCAUCUAUCUUUUUAUCGCUUUUAUCGUUAUCGGGCCUCUAGGCCUUUGGGCUUUUAUCGUUUAUGUUAUUUCGUAUUUCGGACUCUCGGUUUAUGUCGUACUUUAUGUUUCAGAUUUUAUUUUAUAUUAUGGUUCAAG